rnacentral:misc_RNA from 1 species
ACUCCAAAAGGUGCACCCUCACCUGUUAAAAAGCUCAAAAUAUUAUGCAAUGAUCGACCUGAAAUUCAUUCUGGAAAUAACCAUUGAAACUGAAUUUGCUAGCCUGCCAUCAAUAGAAGCCCUAUACUCAGGAAAGAUGCCAGCUCAUCAAAAGGACAAGGGCAAUGGGCCAGUAUAUCAAUAUAUCAAAGCUUCCUUCAACCAUGGCCAAAUAGCAAACUUUUUUUUCCAAAUGGUAACUAAAAUGGAGACCU